UUACUUCUUAUCAUAAGAGUCUGUGGAACAGAGUUUUUUAAAUUAAAUUUAUUCUUUGAGAAUUUCAUAUACACACACACACAUAUAUAUAUUAUUUUCUCCCCCCAUCUCCCUCAUACUCCUGUCAACUUUAAUCUCUCCCCUUAAUUCCCUUCCCCACACUAGUGUCUUUGAGUGACUUUUCCUUUUGGCGUGGGGUGGGGAGUUGAAACAUGGUCUUUUCUGUGUAUCCCUGGCUGUCCUGGAACUUGCUCUGUACUGUAGGCCAGCCUUGAACUUGGAGAUCCCCCUCUCAAACACUGGGAUUAAAACACAGGCUGCCGACACCAGGCUGGACAUUUUAGAGACUAGACUAUUGACUGUAGGUGGACUUGAAUAUCAUCUAAGUUUUCAGCUUGAAUGAGUUUAUAUCAGAGAGUCUGACCACACCCUUGUUCUGCGACUAGCCACAUAUCUCAUCUGAGGCUUAGCGUUUGAGUUAGCAUCACCAGGCACCAGUGUGGACCAUUCUUUGUACUGGUUAGGCAAGCCUGGAAUGAAGGAAUUGUCUGGUCUGGUCUUCACUUCCUUGGCUCUGCAGGGAACUCCAGUUGGAAGGGACCCAGGAGGGCUUGGCUAAUCCUCCUGCCAGCUGAUGCUACUGGUCAUGGGUUCAUGAGACAGGGAAACUCAUUCUUUGAGUCCUUUGGUUUCUAAAUAGGUUCUGAUUCUACUGGAUCCUCGUUCCAGUUCCAUGGUUCAUACCCUUCCUUCCUCCUUCAUUUUUCAGUCUUGUUAUUCUCCUUCUCAUCUUUAUCUCACGGAAGCCUGGGUCCCAAGUGGACUACUUUAACAAUCAUAGCUGUGCACACAAGCCUGUCCCCCCAUGUACCAUUUGUGUCCACAUUUUCAGAUUGUCAUUAGUGCUCAGCAAACAUACUGAGUACGCUGUCUGAAAGCUGGAAUAUAUGGUGACUCGGGAAGCCCCAGGCUCACUUGGCUAAUUAUAAAUUAGGGCAGGGAAUCAUUUCAAGGACAGUGAGAACUCUAAGCUGUGGACACUGAACCUACCCCAGAGACUCUGCUCUGAUAAUCCCCGCAGAGAAGAGUACUGCCUCCUUCCUUUUCCCUUAGGGAAUCUGUGUCCCAGGUUGCUGGCCCCAGGAUUCCAUAACUAGCCUGACCACAUUGUUAAACUCUGUCCCGAGGACAGUCCCUUCCACAUGACUGGGCAUGACUCUGAAAUUCCCUGCCUGGUUGCAUAGCUUCCUUCACAUCCGAUGAGAAAGACCAGAAAUAGACUUCUCUUCACUGAUCCGUCAGUCAGACUUGCCGAGACCCGGAACCGUCCGUCCUAAGACUGGAGGUGUCAUAUUCUGUGGUCAGCACUGGGUUCCGGAACAGGUGUCAAUAUGGGGAGCAACAGGUUUUAGCGUCGGCUGCUUUAGGACCACAGAACCUCAGGUGGCACGAGAUAGAAUCCAGUGUUGAAGGUCGGGACUUCCACCUUCCGUGCCAGACUUGGACAGUUGGAAGUUCACUUCAGACCAUUCCGGCGGUGACUUCCUUGUUCUUUGUGGAGUCCGGUGUGAUUUCUAUUAUAAAUCCUGUGACAAUUAUUAAGUUCCUUUGAUCUUUUAUGAGAUCUAUCACAAGAUUUACUUAAAUCAGCAAUGACACAGUUAUAGAAAAUGUCAUGUUUAGGAAUAUAAAAAGGUGCAUUCACAGAUACGCAUGUGAGGACAUGGGAGACUCUAGUUCAAUCCUCAGCACACACUGAAAAAAGAAAAGGGGGGAUUAGUGCAUGUUACUGCGUUUAGCUUUAAAAUCCAUAUUUAACAUGAUAUGGAAGUAAGGGGCCUAGCAGACAGAGUGGGUUUUCUCCAAGUUGGUGCCUAAAUACAAAUGAGAUUUUUUUUAAAGUCCUAAUUCAACCAGAAACUAGAAUUCUUAGCUCUGUAAAACAUGCUGCAACUGUUGAAUGCUACUUAAAUUCUAUGUGUGGAGAGUUGACCUGCACAGUCCUUCUGACAUUUAAUUGUAUUCACCUUGGAUAACAAACCAAUGUCCCAUAUCGUCUAUGCUGCUAGGACCACACCCAGUUUGUGCUGUCUGUCACUCAUUUAAUCUUUUUACUUGUCACUUCCUAUAAAGUAUGUGAGGACAGAUCCCACCCAUCCUACUGCAGACCCCACCCAUCCUAGUACUCACAAGUACUCGAGCAUGUAUAUCAGAGAGAUGAGGACUCAGGACCAUAAGCUCCAAGAGUUCCCAUUAUUU
rnacentral:lncRNA from 1 species